AUCGGAAUUCGUAGAAGGACACCUUUUUAUUUAAGUAUGUUUUUCUUUGUAGAUGAAAGAUCAACAAAUUAUUUACCAAUUCAGAGUCUGCAAGGGCAAUCUAAUAAUCGGCUGAACUGUAGUCCGCGCGGGGCAUAUUAAAACAGGGGGUUGUUUGUUUGGCUUGGUGCGCUCUGCUAUAUAAAGUGCUUACUCUAUCUCAGGGACUCAUUCUGCCGUCGCUUCCUGACUCAUAAGAUUCUCAAACCCGGACACAAGUUUUUAUUACCUAAGAAGGCAACUGGUUAUUUUAUGUGCGUUUAGUUUUAAUACAUUAAGU